GAUGAACGCUGGCGGCAGGCCUAAUACAUGCAAGUCGAACGCCCUAGCAAUAGGGAGUGGCGCACGGGUGAGUAAUGCAUGGGAACAUACCCUUCGGUACGGAACAACACCGGGAAACUGGUGCUAAUACCGUAUAACAUCUACGGAUCAAAGAUUUAUCGCCGGGGGAUUGGCCCAUGUUGGAUUAGCUUGUUGGUCGGGUAAGGGCCUACCAAGGCGACGAUCCAUAGCUGGUCUGAGAGGAUGAUCAGCCACACUGGAACUGAGACACGGUCCAGACUCCUACGGGAGGCAGCAGUAAGGAAUAUUGGACAAUGGGUGAAACCCUGAUCCAGCCAUGCCGCGUGAAUGAAGAAGGCCUUAGGGUUGUAAAGUUCUUUUAGGGAUGACGAUAAUGACGGUAGUCCCAGAAAAAGCUCCGGCUAACUCCGUGCCAGCCGCCGCCGUAA
rnacentral:rRNA from 1 species